GCGAAGGUGGUGGAAUUGGCAGACACGCUAGACUUAGGAUCUAGUGCCGCAAGGCGUGUGGGUUCGACUCCCACCCUUCGUA
rnacentral:tRNA from 1 species